rnacentral:misc_RNA from 1 species
GAUGAAGAACGUAGCGAAAUGCGAUAAGUAGUGUGAAUUGCAGAAUUCAGUGAAUCAUCGAAUCUUUGAACGCACAUUGCGCCUUCUAGUAUUCUGGGAGGCAUGCCUGUUUGAGCGUCAUUAAACCUCUCUCAAGUAUGAUUACUUGGAUGUGAAGGAAGAGUACCUUAAACUUAAGGAGUGUUCUCCUUUGAAAUUGAUUAGCAGAUGGUAAUGUUAUUAAAUCCCAGAUGUUGUAAGAAAUAACAGUGGUUUUGUAGACUAUUAUCUAGCUUUAAAUUAUAAUUUUUAUUAUGGUUGACCUCAAAUCAGGUAAGGAUACCCGCUGAACUUAAGCAUAUCAAUAAGCGGAGGA